UACGUAGGGUGCAAGCGUUGUCCGGAAUUAUUGGGCGUAAAGAGCUCGUAGGCGGUUUGUUGCGUCGGCUGUGAAAUCCCGAGGCUCAACCUCGGGUCUGCAGUCGAUACGAGCAAACUAGAGUGUUGCAGGGGAGACUGGAAUUCCUGGUGUAGCGGUGAAAUGCGCAGAUAUCAGGAGGAACACCAGUGGCGAAGGCAGCUCGCUGGGACGGUACUGACGCUGAGGCGCGAAAGCGUGGGGAGCAAACAGG
rnacentral:rRNA from 1 species